rnacentral:rRNA from 1 species
CAAUAGCGUAUAUUUAAGUUGUUGCAGUUAAAAAGCUCGUAGUUGGAUUUCGGACGGGAUUUGCCGGUCCGUCGUUACGAUGUGCACUGGCCAGUCCUAUCUUGUUGUCGGGGACUAGCUCCUUGGAUUCACUUCCUGGGACUAGGAGCUGACGAGGUUACUUUGAGUAAAUUAGAGUGUUCAAAGCAAGCCUACGCUCUGAAUACAUUAGCAUGGAAUAACACGAUAGGACUCUGGCUUAUCUUGUUGGUCUGUGAGACCAGAGUAAUGAUUAAGAGGGACAGUCGGGGACAUUCGUAUUUCAUUGUCAGAGGUGAAAUUCUUGGAUUUAUGAAAGACGAACUUCUGCGAAAGCAUUUGUCAAGGAUGUUUUCAUUAA